rnacentral:piRNA from 1 species
UAAGCAGUGGUGGCAACGAGAGAAGC